rnacentral:rRNA from 1 species
GCUUACGGCCAUACCACCCUGAGAACGCCCGAUCUCGUCUGAUCUCGGAAGCUAAGCAGGGUCGGGCCUGGUUAGUACUUGGAUUGGAGACCGCCUGGGAAUACCAGGUGCUGUAAGCU